GGGCGAUGAUUAUAAAGAGAGAGGCUUGAGUGGGGAGUGUGAACAAAACUCUUGUGGGAUGUAGAAAAACCCAAAUCGAAAUCGAAGGAGAAGUAGAGAUGAUAAAAUGUCUCUUUAUUUUUCCCUUUUUCGAAUCUUUGGGCUAUUUUUCUUCAUCCCUUUCCCUCGAUGACGGUCCUUCCAUUUCGUACACUUGAUAUGAGCCCU
rfam:Eutrema salsugineum unplaced genomic scaffold scaffold_16, whole genome shotgun sequence.